UUCUUUGAACAAAGAACAGCUGGUAGACUCCACAAGUGUUGAAGGAGAGUUUAAACUGCAACAUCUGCAUAUGAAGGGAAUACCUUUUCCACCUCAUAAUAUCUCCAACACUCACAAUCUUCCCCUUGUUGGUUUUAUCCUCACACACCAGCAUCUGCCCAAGUUCCAAGGCUUCGGCAGAUCGAAACUUCAUCAUGGUUUUCCUUGGUUGACUUCCUAUUGCCGCGUCCUCUGAUUGAUAGUGGGUACCUAAAAGAAGGAAAAAAUAAUAAUAAUAUUAUGAAUGCCACAUGCUUGAAAUAAUCAAGCCCGAGCUCGAGUGUAAAUGAGCCCAAACAAAAUUAUAGUUUUAUUAUAUAUUGUAAUAAUAAUGAUGAUUAUAACCCAAUCCUAAAAAGCCCUAGUCGGUUUUAACUUGGGUCCAUAUGAUAAAUUAAUCUGUCUUGUAUUGUAUGUAUGUAGUAAGAAAUAUUAAUGAAAAAGCUUGGAUUGUACCUUCAUUAAAGCGCACCAAGCAGCUAGGUUUCCCGAGGAAGUCAGUGAACCAUUUAGCGGUCUCGUCUCCCUCAUCCAAUGCCGAGCCUGACCAUUCCCAGACCGAGACUCCAUCAGACCGUAAACCUGGUUUAGCCAGUGACACCUUGAGCUCAGCCAUCCCAGGAGCACGUACCACUGCCCGAACAAAAUCAAGUGAAAUCAGCAACAAUUUUCGGCAAUGUUUUUGUACAUGUGACAACACUCUAGUUUAGAUGUUUGGUCCAUGUCAAGGUUGUCCAAAUAAAUUCUAUAUAGUAAACAUGUCAAAUUGACAGUGCA